GAAGCUUUCCAUGUUGUCAUAGCUGAACGGGUUCAAUCAUCGCCAGUGAACUGUCAGUGAGUUGGAGAACAUUUCAACUAUCACUUGGAAUCUGAAGAAUUCUUUGCUUGACAGUGCCAGUAUAAGUGCGUUUCAAAAGAACAAACGCUCCCUCUGGUGAUAUGGGUGUAAAAAUGCUGCAGUGCUUUCCUUUCUACAGACGCUGCAAGGAGAGGUGCAAAAGACAGUGCCCUCCUGAGACCACAGUAGCAAGUGAAGAGGUGAAACCUCGGCUGUGUUCCACUACCUCCUGGGGCAGUGAAGGGGACAGCGGCAGCAGUCUGAGUUGCCCACAGGCCUAUUUUUCCCACAAGGCUCGGCUCUCACUGAGACACCAGAUGGAUAGCAACAUCAAUGCAGUGGAUGCCACAUACUAACUUUAUUCUGCAGGUGGUCCCUGGAGAAUCCUUGAAAGUAAACUUCAGAUUUACAGCCCCAGUCCAGUUUAAGUCCCUUAUUGGAGAGAUUUUGCGGGAACAUUUGGAACAGGCAGCAUGGAAGUUUGCCUCUCCUUGCACGCUUCCAUGGACACUCAUGAGCAUCAGCUGUAUGCAUUGCAAUAACAAUGUCAAGAUAAGUGUCUGAAUUUCGGUACAGCAAUGAGUGUAAAAUGGUACAGCUGAGUGUAAUUUGGUGAAAGGGAUGUUUUGAAACACUCUUAAGAGUGAUGUUUACAUGAUAACCAGUAAGUGCUUUUUUCUAGCCUGUAGCAUUUGCCCUCCACAGCCUCUGCUAUACAUGCAUCUACGUUAUCUCAACUGGAUGCUGGUUUUAUCUGAGGAGACACUGACAUCUUAAUGCAACUGAGUUUUUUGAGCCAGAUAUAAAUUUGUUCAGUACACUCUAAAAAAUGCUGGGUUAAAAAGGGAGAAACCCAGCG